rnacentral:rRNA from 1 species
ACACGCUGGCGGCGUGCCUAACACAUGCAAGUCAAGGAGAAUUCCCGACUUGUCGGGAUAGUAAACUGGCGAACGGGUGAGUAACACGUAGGUAAUCUACCCUCGGGAUCGGGAUAACCUCGCGAAAGUGGGGGAUAAUACCGAAUAAAGUCUCGGUAUAAUUUGUCGAGAUGAAAGAUGGGGAUCUUCGGACCUAUUACCUGAGGAUGAGCCUGCGCCUGAUUAGCUAGUUGGUAGGGUAAAUGCCUACCAAGGCAACGAUCAGUAGCUGGUCUGAGAGGAUGAUCAGCCACAUUGGGACUGAGAUACGGCCCAGACUCCUACGGGAGGCAGCAGUGAGGAAUUUUGCGCAAUGGGCGAAAGCCUGACGCAGCAACGCCGCGUGACUGAUUAAGCUCUGAGGAGUGUAAAAGUCUGUCGUAGAGGAAGAAACUAUCCGAUAAGAAUAUUGUCGGAUACUGACGGUACUCUAUGAGAAAGCUCCGGCUAACUCCGUG